rnacentral:lncRNA from 1 species
GCCGGGUGGCCUGACGCAGCUGGGCACUGAUAAGGGUCUGUCCACCCUGGCGGGGCUCUCCAGGAGGACGCCCACACACAAUUCCCGGAGCGGGGCAGGUUCCUCCAGCUGCAGGCCCUGAGCACGGCUGACAGCGGCGACUACAGCUGCACAGCCCGCAACGCCGCAGGCAGCACUAGUGUCGCCUUCCGCGUGGAGAUCCACACGGUGCCCACCAUCCGGUCAGGACCACCUGCAGUGAACGUCUCAGUGAACCAGACAGCCCUGCUGCCUUGCCAGGCCGACGGCGUGCCCGCACCCCUCGUGAG